rnacentral:rRNA from 1 species
UGGGGAAUAUUGGACAAUGGGCGAAAGCCUGAUCCAGCCAUGCCGCGUGAGUGACGAAGGCCUUAGGGUUGUAAAACUCUUUCGUCGGGGACGAUAAUGACGGUACCCGAAGAAGAAGCUCCGGCUAACUUCGUGCCAGCAGCCGCGGUAAUACGAAGGGGGCUAGCGUUGUUCGGAAUUACUGGGCGUAAAGCGCACGUAGGCGGAUUUGUAAGUCAGGGGUGAAAUCCCGGGGCUCAACCUCGGAACUGCCUUUGAUACUGCAAGUCUCGAGUCCGAUAGAGGUGAGUGGAAUUCCUAGUGUAGAGGUGAAAUUCGUAGAUAUUAGGAAGAACACCAGUGGCGAAGGCGGCUCACUGGAUCGGUACUGACGCUGAGGUGCGAAAGCGUGGGAGCAAACAGGAUUAGAUACCCAAGUAGUCCCUGAGCGGGCUGGCAAGGCGCAU